rnacentral:tRNA from 1 species
CAUGGCCAAAUAGAUAAGACAUCUGACUUUAGAUCAGAAGAUUGAGGGUUCAAGUCCAUUUG